GAGGGGAUAGCUCGGUGGCAGAGCACAUGCUCAGUAGGCAUGAGGUCCUGGGUUCAAUCCCCAGUCCCUCCA
rnacentral:tRNA from 1 species